GAUGAACGCUGGCGGCGUGCUUAACACAUGCAAGUCGAACGAAGCAUUUGCGACAGAUUUUUUCGGAAUGAAGUUGCUUAUGACUGAGUGGCGGACGGGUGAGUAACGCGUGGGUAACCUGCCUUGUACUGGGGGAUAGCAGCUGGAAACGGCUGGUAAUACCGCAUAAGCGCACAAUGUUGCAUGACAUGGUGUGAAAAACUCCGGUGGUAUAAGAUGGACCCGCGUCUGAUUAGCUAGUGGGUGAGAUAACAGCCCACCAAGGCGACGAUCAGUAGCCGACCUGAGAGGGUGACCGGCCACAUUGGGACUGCGACACGGCCCAGACGCCUACGGGAGGCAGCAGGGGGGAAUAUUGCACAAUGGAGGAAACUCUGAUGCAGCGACGCCGCGUGAGUGAAGAAGUAAUUCGUUAUGUAAAGCUCUAUCAGCAGGGAAGAUAGUGACGGGACCUGACUAAGAAGCUCCGGCUAAAUACGU
rnacentral:rRNA from 1 species